rnacentral:misc_RNA from 1 species
GAUGAAGAACGCAGCGAAAUGCGAUACUUGGUGUGAAUUGCAGAAUCCCGUGAACCAUCGAGUCUUUGAACGCAAGUUGCGCCCGAAGCCAUCAGGUUGAGGGCACGUCUGCCUGGGCGUCACAUAUCGUUGCCCAAUGCCUAUUGCAGUGCAAUAGGAAUUUCUAGGGCGAAUGAUGGCUUCCCGUGAGCGUUGUUGCCUCGCGGUUGGUUGAAAAUCGAGUCCUUGGUAGGGUGUGCCAUGGUAGAUGGUGGUCGAGUUAGAACGAUACCGAUCAUGUGCAUGCUCCCCAAAAUAUGGCCUCUAUGACCCACACGCGUCUUUUGACACUCAUGACGAGACCUCAGGUCAGGCGGGGCUACCCGCUGAAUUUAAGCAUAUCAAUAAGCGGAGGA